UUGUUGGAUGUGGCUGUAAGCACAACAGGGUUACAUUAUAGGACUAGUGUGUGUAGAAAAAAAUUAGUAUUGGCGUAUUAUUUUCCCAGCCACUCCUCCAAGAAUGAGAUUUCACAUUGUGUUUCUAAAGACCCUUUGAAUAGUUAUUAUAUAGUAUCCUUUCAGAAAUGAAAGGAAUGGACAAAGCAAGACUAAAAGGCAAUUUGGAGAGUAUCCUUCAAGAUUAGGGAGAUAGCAGAAGUGUGUGGAUUCUACAAGCACUGGGUGCCCCUCCGCUGAUGUCUUGCAGUGACUCAACAUGUGACAGGACCUCAGAAAGGAACUGCCACAUAGAGAGUUCCCAAGGAGGCUGGAUCCUGGGCACCGAGCUCUUGGCCUUGGCAAAACCGAAACAAACAAACAAAAAAACAAGGCCCUCAAGACCUCCUGUCUUGAGGAAUAGUACAGCUCUGAACACUGACUACAAAAGCUGUGAUCUUUAGAGACCAAAUACAAGAGGACCCUCAGGGCAUUCGCAUGGAAACAAGAAGGACCCUAUCAUAACACGGUUUGACUUUUCCAUCAGUCAGGCUAAAUAGGAACUUGGAGCAUAUUAAAUUUAUUUAGAGAAAGGAAAGAAAUGUAAUAUUACUCACAUCCUGUGUUUUGAAGAAAAUCAUGCUGCUAUCAACUUUAUGACUGUCUCAAAGCAGGGCUUCCUUCCACUCUACGUUUUUUAUAGAGACCAUAGUGAAGUAGCUUUUUGACUCACCCUUUCUCAGAGCCUCUAUCAUAGAACUGUGAGGGCUAAGCUGGAGAUAAGCUCAGUUACAAUCACUAGGCUAUGUUCAAAAACCACUGUUUCUCUUCAACCUCAAAAAAUUGUCCUAGAUCAAGUGAGUGUACCUAGGGAACUGACUUAAGCAAAUGUGGUUUUUCAUGAGUUUUAGGCUAUUUUGGCAGGUAUCAGUCACCUCCGGUAGCUAUGAAUGGAUGAGAUUUGUAAUUAUCCUCCCCUACAAUCACAUUACCAAGGAAUAUAAUGAAAGCGCAUUUUAGACCAAAGAAGCCACAUGUGCAAAUACUCAUUAUAAGAAGACCCAGAAACAACUAGAAAACCUGAGACAUGUGCAAAGAAGUCCCAGGAAAUACUACGUAUGUAUAAAACGGUCAUUCAAGGCAGAUGUAUAAGUAUCCUGGUAAAGAAUUCAGGUAUAUUUCUGGGUAGAAGCCAAGCCACAGGAUCCUCCUUUGAGUUGCUGAACUAAGCCUUAGUGAAGACCUGGUCCAAGAAGGCCUCUGUGAGGCUCUUUCUAGAUUCUUACUUCCUGUUGUUCAAAAAAGGCAGCCGUGCAUGUAUACAAUAUUUUCAGCUAAUCCACAUAACUUGAUCACCACUCUUUUACCUUUGAAAAAUCAUUCUAGUAUCUCUUAUGCUAACUAGGAAAACUUCUUGUCCUUAUUGGAGAUAAAGUUAUAAGAGGAUUGCUGGUCACAGUUUUUCAAUGAGAGUUGCCUAUCCCUGAAAUUGAAAUUCCUUAGUCAAAUAUUUCAGAAGUUAAUUAUCCGCCUCUAUCCACUCUAAAAAAGUACAUGUGCAUGUAAGCACACACGUACCCCUCUGUGAGCACUAGAUAACUAUAAAGUAAUUCAGAGAAUAUAAUAGCACUGCACUCUCUUCUGCAGAGUUCUCUCCUGAAUGAUUGAGAGGUUUGAACUCUUGCUUGUUCCCAGUCAUAGGGCUUAACCUUGGAGUGCAGUUUCCUUUCAUUGUCUUUCGUCUAAGUGUCCCAUACAAAUAAGUCUCUGGUAAACCACAGAGCUGGCUAUAGAUAACCACACAUGUAUGAGAUCAUGAUGAAUACACAGCUUGUAUAUAUCUUGCACCUGGUUUUCCAGCCAAAAUACUGCAGCCAUUUUUAAAAGCAAAUACAAACCCAGUAGUGCUGUUUUGAACCUUCAAGAGACUCUUGACUUCCAGUUCUCUAUCUGUUACAGAAUCCCAUAGUGCAUGUUCUCACUGCAAUGCAGAUACCUAGAAAAAUUCCCACAUGGAGAAUCUUGGUACCUGCAAUAUGUUGAUUUUUUUUUUCUUUCUUCCAGGAACAGAGGAUGUUAAUAAAUUGUGGAUUCUAUCAACAAAGGUUACCGCACAACUAUCCUGAGGGCCAAAGAAUAACAAUUUUGCAAAUCUCCUUCUUGAACUUUCUUCCUUAAAUAAUACUGUAAUGCCAGUAUCUAUUUUUAAAUGGAUCUCCUUCAGCUAGUGUUUCUCAAACUAUUAGUGUUGACCUAUCACAGAACAGAAAAAUUCAUUUAAUGGGUAAUGGCUUUCAUUUUUAAAUGAAAAUAGAACAGAAUGGGAUGGAUUGGAAUGGGAUUGGAUGGGAUGGGAUGAGAUAAGAUAGAAUACGAAUAUCAGAAUAGAUCACAGAUAGCAAGGGUAAUACGAUGAGUUUAAUAAGAUGUUUCAUUUUUAUAAGUGUGUGUGUGUAUGUGUGUGUAUGGUGAGUUGCAACAUAGAGCAUAUUUCUUACCGAGGAUAAUACCAAAUAAUCUUUUAAGCCACUUAUGGAGAUAUGGAGAUAAACUUUCUUUGGGUCCCAAAUAAAAUAGAAGAUGGUUCUAAUGGAAAUUGCCAUGUACCCAUAGAGAUUAGCUAGAAAGGAAGGUUGGGGGUAAAUUACACCAUGAUCCCAAAACAUUUGCCUGGGAAAACAUUAUUUUUCAAGUGUCAGAAUAACCCCUUCAUGCAGUCCAGACUAUUUUCCGAAAUAGUAGAGUCGUAGUUUGCAUACUCCCAGAAGCAGACCCUGAGACAAGAGAUUCAAAUGCAAAUUAUUUAUUUGAGAAGAGCCCAUCAACUGGGAGCUAGGAAAGUGAUAAAAGGAAGAGAAAGCAGCUAUAAGAGUCAGCUACCAUGAGCAGUUUAUGCACAUGGGAAAACUCAGGGAAAUGGUACAGGACAUGCCAGAGAAUUACCCCAACCAAGGUGCAAGAGAGCAGACAUUUAUAUCCAAUUCAGCUGAAGUCUGCUGCUGGGGCUGAGGGGUGGAAAUGGCAUGUGUUAAUUUCCUAGCACUUCCAGUCUGCCGUGCUUCUGCGCAGAGUGAGGCAGAGAAGUUUCCACUGCUCCCGGGAAAAAACAAAAACAAAAACAAAAAAUCCGUGUACCCUGAGAUGCAGAUGCUGAAAUGUCCAAGAGUUAUGGGUAGAGCACUGCUGUCAACAUCUGUUCACAUGGCUAAUGCUAUAGAAACUCGCCUAAAAGGUUAUGGCAUCCUUUCCAUCUUUGCCUACACACACUCCCCUGGGGGACAGUGCUUGUCCUGAGCUAAACACCUGGUGUGACUGAGUAUGGAAAGCAGUAUGAGUAAUUUCAAGUACUGUUUGUGCUCUAGAGUUUGGAAGAAAAUGAAGGAUGGGUAAAACCUUUUUCAUUGUCCUCAAAUUUCAAUAACUAUGUGAUAAGAACAAAGUAUGCAUAGACCUAAGAGGAAAGCCCUAAUUUUGGCAGAUUUUAAACCACAUAUGCUAGUUUCUCUGGCUCUGAAUGAUCAGUCACAUAUUCCAACUUGGCCUGAUGUGAAUCUGGCCCUCUGAGAUCUAGUUCAAAGAUGAAAUUCUGGGUUAUGAACUUCUUCACAGUUUGCUAAGUAACCUACUCUUCUGACUUUGUUGUCCCCAGCCAGCUAGAGGGAGGAGUGGGGGCCAAAAGCAAUCCUCUGACAUUUAGCCCUUUCCUCACUCUUCCGCCUCAGGACUAGCGCUGAGUUAUAUCAGUUCUGCUUCCUGGGACCUUGCCACAGUGAAGGGAAGGGGAAUUUGCUAAAGUUUUAUGGCCACUUGGAUUCACUGAGCUAAGACGGACAGAUCCAAGGAAUCCCCAUAUUCUGUACAGGGAAAUGCCCCACCCCACCUGUGGGAGAUGUUACUCACAGGUAUGGAACAAUUCCACAGAACUACCAAGAGGACUGGUAAUUCUACACUUUCUCAUCAAUCAUGCAACUGCCAAGUUCCUGGCACUUCCAAGUUGUUAAAUAAAUGGAAUUACCAAGAUGGAUUUAGAUCUGUAGUGAAACAGUCCUUGGAGACUCAACCACAAUGUCAACUAGAGGAAAGAGGAAAAAGGGAGUAUUAACUCUGAAUCCUCAACCCUAACCAACUGAAUAAAUUAAACACCUCUGCCCUAAUCAGAUCCAGGGUUAAUUCUGCAGAAUCUGGUAGAGUAUUAGAGACAACUCUCCAUCAGGUGGUAUAGUUUGUGCAUGAGAUUAGCUAGUUUUUGCACAAAACUAUUCUAUCUUUUCCUCCUGGACCCAUAGCUAGACAUUUCCCAGCCUUUCUUGCAGUGUCCAUGUGGCUCAGAUCUGGCACUGAAAUUUGGGAAGAAAUCAUGUACUCUAUUUCCAGGUCUGAGGCAUUAAAAACUUCCCAUGUGUUCCUCCAUCUGUUGACUGGAAGUCUAGACUAAGGGUAUCUAUGAAAACCAUGUGUUGAAAUGACAAAGCAUCUCUCAGCUUGGGUCCUCCAAAGACUGUGUAGGAAAGGGCUAUCCCCUAUUCCACCCCACUCUCUAGCCCUAAUGGGCUUUUAUAUGAGGAAUAACUGAGCUACCAAGAUUUCAGGGGUUAUCUGUUAUAGCAGCUGCAUACACAUUAAGCAAUGCAGCCACCCGUGACAGAGACUAGGCUUGCUGCCAAGUUGGUUACCCUAGCUGUAUACAGCCUGCUCCCCUCUUCCUCACAGUUGUGGAGGUCCCAGCUUUCUUUACCACUAAGGAGGCAGUUUUAGACAUAAGGGGUGUGUAAGAUGGCUGGGAGACACUGUUAAGGACAUGAUUCUCCAGGGAAAAACUUUGUUCCAUGUUUGUAAUCAGAAGUUUCUGUGGUCACACAGUGAGUCAGAAGCAAAGCAAGGAUUCAUGUUCUCCUUCUGCUGGGGCAACUCCCCUUCUGCAGGAUGGGGGUCUAAGUUCUGUGCUUAGAGAUGUGGGAUAUAAAUUACAAGAAAGGUCAUGAAAUCAGGAUCCUACCUUCCAAUGUAGACCAUUGAGAAGGCUUUAAGCCCACCAGCCUCAGACAGGUGAAGAAUUUUAAAAUCAGCUGGAUAAUCCCUUUUUGGUCUAAAUAUAGUACUUUUCACUCCUUCUCCCAAAUGACUUGCUCCCAUAUCUGCAUAUUGUUAGGAUGCAUAUUCCCAUUAUUUAAUCUGUAAACUACAUAGUUCAAUUCUCUUGUACAAAGAAGCAAAUUGAAAAGAACCACACUUGACACCUAAGUGCUGCUACCCAGAUGCACAGUAAAUUAGUUUAAGAACUAGGAAGAAAACAGGUUCUAACAGGGUGUCUUGAGGCUUUCAACUCUGCCUGGUCGCCAGGACCAGUUGUUUUCUCCACAAAACUGUUCAUGCAGCUCCCGCAGUUUCGUUUGUCCUCGGGGAAUUUAGGAACUCCCUACCCUGAGGAGAAAGAUUCCUCAGAGCAAUGCAAAAGGCACAGGGCAAAGCAAGGGGGAGGAGGCUCGUGACAUGUAGCAGGCCUCUGUCUACAGAGAGACAACUGGGCCUGGGAGUGCUUGCUUGGCCUAUAUUUAGUUUAUCCAGUGACAUCUCUGCACCUCAACGCCAUCUCUCACGCUAGCAAAGGCCUGUGAGACCAAAAGUUUUUCUCAUUGUAGCAAGGCUCUGACUCACUAGUUUUAAAAAAAUAUAUGAGAACAAUAAGACCCAAGAGGACAAGAGAAUUCAAAAAAAUAAUAAUAACACUGAAAGAAACAGUUCUGCAUUCCUUGCAGGCUG
rnacentral:lncRNA from 1 species